rnacentral:rRNA from 1 species
GAUUAUGGCUCAGGACGAACGCUGGCGGCGUGCUUAACACAUGCAAGUCGAGCGGAGAAUAUAGCAAUAUAUUCUUAGCGGCGGACGGGUGAGUAACGCGUGGGCAAUCUGCCUCAUACAGGGGGAUAACACUGGGAAACUAGUGCUAAUACCGCAUAAAAUAGUGAAGUGGCAUCACUUUACUAUCAAAAGGAGCAAUCCGGUGUGAGAUGAGCCCGCGUCCGAUUAGCUAGUUGGAGGGUAACGGCCCACCAAGGCGACGAUCGGUAGCCGAACUGAGAGGUUGAUCGGCCACAUUGGGACUGAGACACGGCCCAGACUCCUACGGGAGGCAGCAGUGGGGAAUAUUGCGCCAAUGGGGGAAACCCUGACGCAGCAACGCCGCGUGAAGGAUGAAGGUUUUCGGAUUGUAAACUUCUUUGAUUGGGGACGAUAAUGACGGUACCCAAAAAACAAGCCACGGCUAACUACGUGCCAGCCGCCGC